GUGGGGAAUUUUGGACAAUGGGCGCAAGCCUGAUCCAGCCAUGCCGCGUGUGUGAAGAAGGCCUUCGGGUUGUAAAGCACUUUCGGCCGGAACGAAAUCGCGCGGGUGAACAUCCCGCGUGGAUGACGGUACCGGAAGAAGAAGCACCGGCUAACUACGUGCCAGCAGCCGCGGUAAUACGUAGGGUGCGAGCGUUAAUCGGAAUUACUGGGCGUAAAGGGUGCGCAGGCGGCUCCGCAAGUCAGGCGUGAAAUCCCCGGGCUUAACCUGGGAAUGGCGCUUGAAACUACGGGGCUGGAGUAUGGCAGAGGGAGGUGGAAUUCCACGUGUAGCGGUGAAAUGCGUAGAGAUGUGGAGGAACACCGAUGGCGAAGGCAGCCUCCUGGGCCAAUACUGACGCUCAUGCACGAAAGCGUGGGGAGCAAACAGGAUUAGAAACCCCAGUAGUCC
rnacentral:rRNA from 1 species